rnacentral:RNase_MRP_RNA from 9 species
GUUUCUUUGCCGUCGCCCCCGAAGUGCUUUGUGGGAAAGUGCCCGGGCUCGAGCGCCAUGGAGCAGUCCUCUUUGGUUUC